UUGAUCCUGGCUCAGAAUCAACGCUGGCGGCGUGCCUAACACAUGCAAGUCGAACGCGAAAACCCCGCAAGGGGUUAGUAGAGUGGCGAACGGGUGAGUUACACGUGGGUGACCUACCUUCGAAUGGGGGAUAACGUCCCGAAAGGGACUCUAAUACCGCAUAACAUCCUGCCUUUGAACAGGUGGAGAUCAAAGCCGGUGAUCGCAAGACCUGGCGUUUGAAGAGGGGCCCGCGUCUGAUUAGCUAGUUGGUGAGGUAACGGCUCACCAAGGCGACGAUCAGUAUCCGGCCUGAGAGGUCGGACGGACACACUGGGACUGAGACACGGCCCAGACUCCUACGGGAGGCUGCAGUGGGGAAUUGUUCGCAAUGGGCGCAAGCCUGACGACGCAACGCCGUGUGGAGGAUGAAGGUCUUCGGAUUGUAAACUCCUGUUGCCCGGGACGAAUUGCUCCAACCUAAUACGUUGGAGUUUGACGGUACCGGGUGAGGAAGCCCUGGCUAACUCUGUGCCAGCAGCCGCGGUAAUAAGGU
rnacentral:rRNA from 1 species